rnacentral:rRNA from 1 species
GAUGAACGCUGGCGGCGUGCUUAACACAUGCCAGUCGAACGGAAAGGCUCCUGCUUGCCGGGGUACUCGAGUGGCGAACGGGUGAGUAACACGUGGGUGAUCUGCCCUGCACUUCGGGAUAAGCCUGGGAAACUGGGUCUAAUACCGGAUAGGACCACAUUUUGGAUGGUGUGGUGGAAAGUUUUUCGGUGUGGGAUGAGCUCGCGGCCUAUCAGCUUGUUGGUGGGGUAAUGGCCUACCAAGGCGUCGACGGGUAGCCGGCCUGAGAGGGUGUACGGCCACAUUGGGACUGAGAUACGGCCCAGACUCCUACGGGAGGCAGCAGUGGGGAAUAUUGCACAAUGGGCGCAAGCCUGAUGCAGCGACGCCGCGUGGGGGAUGACGGCCUUCGGGCUGUAAACUCCUUUCGCUAGGGACGAAGCGCAAGUGACGGUACCUGGAGAAGAAGCACCGGCUAACUACGUG